UAUGACUCUCGGCAACGGAUAUCUCGGCUCUCGCAUCGAUGAAGAACGUAGCGAAAUGCGAUACUUGGUGUGAAUUGCAGAAUCCCGCGAACCAUCGAGUCUUUGAACGCAAGUUGCGCCCGAAGCCGUUAGGUUAAGGGCACGUCUGGCUGGGUGUCACGCAACA
rnacentral:rRNA from 2 species